rnacentral:rRNA from 1 species
UACGUAGGGGGCAAGCGUUGUCCGGAAUCAUUGGGCGUAAAGCGCGUGUAGGCGGCCCGGUAAGUCCGCUGUGAAAGUCCAGGGCUCAACCCUGGGAUGCCGGUGGAUACUGUCGGGCUCGAGUCCGGAAGAGGCGAGUGGAAUUCCUGGUGUAGCGGUGAAAUGCGCAGAUAUCAGGAGGAACACCGAUGGCGAAGGCAGCUCGCUGGGACGUGAACUGACGCUGAGACGCGAAAGCGUGGGGAGCAAACAGG